GGGGCUUGGUAUACAUUGCAUCGGAUUCCUCUUUCAGGUCUGAUAGGUAUAAGUCUCUAAAUUUGUGAUUUCCUUCUCUCCUCUCUUUGGCAUCUGAAGAUAAAAAAUAAUAAUAAUAAAAGAUUGAAAUGAUUUCCUGGAAGAGGCAGAGGGGUAGGAGUGUCUCCUGUGACCCCAUUAUUUUAAGUCUAAAGGGAAUGAUCACACAUUGUGGAAACAAGGGGUAGGAGUGUCUCCUAUGACCCCGGUAUUCGCUACACUUUGUAAAAAAAGAGCUACAAAAGUAGACAAGUCAAUGAGAUGAACAAGAUGGAAUGUAUCAGCAUCAACAUUCAUUGAAAUUGAAACUAAUGAGAUUCAGAGAAGAGAGAUAUAGGGAGAAAGGAAAUUUGAAUAAGACUACAUGUUUACUCAGAUACCUGCUAGAGUAAGAGUCCAUGUGUCCCUUGAUCGAUACUCCCAAGAUUUAGCCUACACAUUUAUAUGCAUAAAUUAAGUCAGUAGGGGGUAUGUCAGGCGGAAUCAGCUAAGCUGUGGGCUGGAAGGUUUGG
rnacentral:lncRNA from 1 species